rnacentral:rRNA from 1 species
GAUGAACGCUGGCGGCGUGCCUAAUACAUGCAAGUCGAGCGAACAGACGAGGAGCUUGCUCCUCUGACGUUAGCGGCGGACGGGUGAGUAACACGUGGAUAACCUACCUAUAAGACUGGGAUAACUUCGGGAAACCGGAGCUAAUACCGGAUAAUAUAUUGAACCGCAUGGUUCAAUAGUGAAAGACGGUUUUGCUGUCACUUAUAGAUGGAUCCGCGCCGCAUUAGCUAGUUGGUAAGGUAACGGCUUACCAAGGCAACGAUGCGUAGCCGACCUGAGAGGGUGGGGAGGCAUACGGAGACUGACACACGAUCGGGACGACUACGGGAGGAAGCAGUAGGGAGUCAGCCGGAAAGGGCGAAGGAAUGACGAAGAAACGCCGCGGGGGUGAUGAAGUGCGUCGGAUCGUAAAACUCUGUUAUGAGGGAAGAACAAAGGUGUAAGUGACUAUGCAGGGCUUGACGGGACCUAAACAGAAAGACACGGCUAACUACGUG